rnacentral:rRNA from 1 species
ACCCAUGCCCCGUGUGUGAAAAAAGCCUUCUGGUUGUAAAGCACUUUCUCUCACGAGGAAAGGUUAUAAUUUAAUACCUGCUAUCUGUGACGUUACUGAGAGAAAAAACACCGGCUAAAUCCGUGCCACCACCCCCGGUAAUACAGAGGGGGCGAGCGUUAAUCGCAAUUACUGGGCGUAAAGCGUACACACGCGGUUUGUUAAACGAGAUGUGAAAACCCCGGGCUCACCCUGGGAACUGCGUUUCUAACUGUGAAACUAUAGUGUGAUAUAGGGUGGGAGAAUUUCACGUGUAUCGCUGAAAUGCGUAUAGAUCUGAAAGAAUACCGAUGUGGAAAGCACCCACCUGUGUCACCACUGACACUCAUGUACAAAAGCGUGUGGAGCAAACAGGAUUAUAUACACUGGUAUUCCCCGCCGUAAACAAUGUCUACUAUAGGCUCGCAACCUCGCUUCUGUUUUUCAAAGCUAACACAUUAUAUAUACCGCCUGUGGAGUACAGCCGCAAGGUUAUAACACACAUAAAUUGACAGG